GCCAGCCAGGCCCACCGGGGCUCCCGCCAGCCUCUCUACCUCAGUCACCCCUGACUCGGACUGGGGGAGGCGCAGUACCCAGGGGUCUGCUGGUCUCCCGGCACAGGACUGGGGUUCAGCACUUACUCGGGGCGGGGUGGUUCCCCUCUCUGGAAUGUAGGGCUCCUCACUCCCCGAACCCCCAGUGCCUGCUGCCUCGGUUUGGGGGAGGCGCUCACACACUCUGUUCUUUGUUCCUGUUUGGGGUGUCGAGCUGGGACAUUGGUCCCCAGGUGGGACAAGGGAAGUUUUUACAUUUCGGAGUUAAUGGGAAUAAAGGAGGGGUAGUGGAGGGAGAUGAGGUUUAUGCGUGUGUAUCUUUUUUAUUGUUAAAUAAAGUGGAGGGAGUCAAGGAUGGUGGCCUCCUUCCUGGCUUGUGACUUCCACAGGGCCAACAUCAGGGAACCAAGCACUGGAACAGCUGGCGUGGCGUGGGGUGGGGUCCAGACCUCACGUCAUGUCGUCCCUGGCCCACCCUGUGACCCGGCAGAGUCUGUGGCGGACACCAGAGGAUACAGUUGCUGCAGUGUCUGAGUAAACAGGAGGGGCCCACACCCUGGGCUCAGGGUCCCCGCCUCCCCUCACUGCAGGAUGAGCAGCUCGAAAGCAGCAGCGUCUGGGGCAGAGGGACACGUGAAACCCGCGUGGCCCGGGGAGAGGAGACUGUUCUGAAUAGGAGGAAGAGGAGUCCCAGCCCCACCUGGGGAGCCCCGGCGAGCUGCGCCCCGGGCCUGACCGGCAGGAGCAGCCCGGGUCAGUGCAGGGUGUGAGCCGGCCUGGGCCCCAUGCCCGGAUGACUGGACAGGGGCUGCUGGGCCAGAGGCCAGGCCCGGAGGAGGGAGGAAGCGCCUCACGUGUCCCGCCAGGCUAUCCCUGCCUAGCACCCGCCCCAACAGUGUUUGGGGGGAAAACAGACCCAGUAACUAUGGUAACCUGGAACUGGGGCUCCCAGGAACUUAGAGCUCACUUCCCUCCAGGGGCAGCCCUGGUGCUUGGCCGAGCUUCCUGUCCAGGAUCCCUCCGGCCUCCGGGCUGUACUGGAGGUAAUGCCGUGAGAGCCGGAACCUUGGGACCAGCUCUCCUGAGCGGGCUCAGGCCUUGCCUGUUAACCUGCCAUGUCCUGGGACCCUUGGGCUUCCGUGACCCAUCCGAGACAGGCCUCAGCAACGCUGCCGCCUAGGCCCGCUCUUUGCUCCCCUCUCCUGUCCUCUCUCCAUCCUCUAUCUCACUGGGUCCUCUAACUUGCUGUUCUUUCUCCUCCUGACCCCAGGCAGCAAAGUGCUUGAGUUGCCGUGUCUUGUGCUGGGGCUCUGGGGGGCCACACCGCCUCUGCUGCAUGGCGGAGGACAGCGGCCCUAGGGUGUGAACCAGGAGUGCAGUGGCCAGGAGGACGGCGCUGGUGCCAGCCCCAGCUCUCUUCCUCUUCCCAGCUGUGGGGGCCAGGACUGGGGAACCUAAUGUUUGCCUCAUCGUUCUGCUAUGGCCUCUCGAUACAGCACAUCUGGAUUCCGGGGCCCAGAUGUGUGGUUACCACAGCGACCUUGGUCCCACUGGAAGAAGCUACAGAAGUCCAGACCUCCCACCCUGCAGCAAGUCCUUCAAGAAGCCACUCUGUUUGCUUCUGGCUCAAGUCCUCAGCCCCAGCCUUUCCCAGAGCUGUACAGGAGGGGAGAGAGAGCCCAGUUCUGGAAUCAGAAGCCCACCUUCACCACCGUCAAAGUCCUGGACAGAGACCCGACAUCUGGGAGCCUCUGUUUGCUCACCACGAAGUGGGAUUAAUAAAAUGCCAGCUCU